rnacentral:rRNA from 1 species
AACGAACGCUGGCGGCAGGCCUAACACAUGCAAGUCGAGGGAGAAGCUAUCUUCGGAUAGUGGAGACCGGCAGGGCGGGUGAGUAACACGUGGGAAUCUACCUAGUAGGUGGGGGAUAACAGUUGGAAACGACUGCUAAUACCGCAUACGCCCUUCGGGGGAAAGAUUUAUCGCUAUUAGAUGAGCCCGCGUUAGAUUAGCUAGUUGGUGAGGUAAGAGCUCACCAAGGCGACGAUCUAUAGCUGGUUUGAGAGGAUGAUCAGCCACACUGGGACUGAGACACGGCCCAG